AUUGAACGCUGGCGGCAUGCUUUACACAUGCAAGUCGAACGGUAACAGGCCGCAAGGUGCUGACGAGUGGCGCACGGGGGAGUAAUGCAUCGGAACGUGCCCAGUCGUGGGGGAUAACUACUCGAAAGAGUAGCUAAUACCGCAUACGAUCUAUGGAUUAAAGCGGGGGACCGUAAGGCCUCGCGCGAUUGGAGCGGCCGAUGUCAGAUUAGGUAGUUGGUGGGGUAAAGGCUCACCAAGCCAACGAUCUGUAGCUGGUCUGAGAGGACGACCAGCCACACUGGGACUGAGACACGGCCCAGACUCCUACGGGAGGCAGCAGUGGGGAAUUUUGGACAAUGGGCGCAAGCCUGAUCCAGCAAUGCCGCGUGCAGGAAGAAGGCCUUCGGGUUGUAAACUGCUUUUGUACGGAACGAAACGGCUCUGGUUAAUACCCGGGGCUAAUGACGGUACCGUAAGAAUAAGCACCGGCUAACUACGUG
rnacentral:rRNA from 1 species